UACGGAGGAUGCAAGCGUUAUCCGGAAUUAUUGGGCGUAAAGCGUCCGCAGGUGGCACUUCAAGUCUGCUGUCAAAGACCGGGGCUUAACCCUGGAAAGGCAGUGGAAACUGAAGCGCUAGAGUGCGGCAGGGGUAGAGGGAAUUCCCGGUGUAGCGGUGAAAUGCGUAGAGAUCGGGAAGAACAUCGGUGGCGAAAGCGCUCUACUGGGCCAUAACUGACACUCAGGGACGAAAGCUAGGGGAGCGAAUGGG
rnacentral:rRNA from 1 species